rnacentral:rRNA from 1 species
GACGAACGCUGGCGGCGUGCUUAACACAUGCAAGUCGAACGGUGAAGCGCCUUCCUUUUUGGUGGGUGUGGAUGAGUGGCGAACGGGUGAGUAACACGUGAGUAACCUGCCCCCUUCUUCUGGAUAACCGCAUGAAAGGGUGGCUAAUACGGGAUAUUCUGGGUCUGUCGCAUGAUGGGUCUGGGAAAGAUAUUGUUUCGGUGGGGGAUGGGCUCGCGGCCUAUCAGCUUGUUGGUGGGGUGAGGGCCUACCAAGGCGGCGACGGGUAGCCGGCCUGAGAGGGUGGACGGUCACACUGGGACGGAGACCCGGCCCAGCCUCCUACGGGAGGCAGCAGUGAGGAUUAUUGCACAGUGGGCGCCAGCCUGAUGCAGCGACGCCGCGUGAGGGAUGGAGGCCUUCGGGUUGUGAACCUCUUUCGCCAGUGAAGCAGGCCUGCCUCGUUUGUGGGUGGGUUGACGGUAGCUGGAUAAGAAGCGCCGGCUAACUACGUG